rfam:Myotis lucifugus cont2.6443, whole genome shotgun sequence.
GGCGGUUUUCCAGUGACACACCCUAGAAUCGGGCUCCCUUCUCUCUGGUUCUGGGGUGCGUCACUUGAGAACUGCU